rnacentral:rRNA from 1 species
UGGGGAAUAUUGGACAAUGGGGGCAACCCUGAUCCAGCCAUGCCGCGUGAGUGAAGAAGGCCCUAGGGUUGUAAAGCUCUUUCAGAUGUGAGGAUGAUGACAGUAACAUCAGAAGAAGCCCCGGCUAACUUCGUGCCAGCAGCCGCGGUAAUACGAAGGGGGCUAGCGUUGUUCGGAUUUACUGGGCGUAAAGGGCGUGUAGGCGGACGAUCAAGCUAGAGGUGAAAGCCCAGGGCCCAACCCUGGAACUGCCUUUAGAACUGAUUGUCUAGAAUCCGUAAGGGGAGUGUGGAAUUCCUAGUGUAGAGGUGAAAUUCGUAGAUAUUAGGAAGAACACCAGUGGCGAAGGCGGCACUCUGGUACGGUAUUGACGCUGAGGCGCGAAAGCGUGGGGAGCAAACAGGAUUAGAUACCCCCGUAGUCC